rnacentral:rRNA from 1 species
AUUGAACGCUAGCGGGAUGCUUUACACAUGCAAGUCGAACGGCAGCGCGGACUUCGGUCUGGCGGCGAGUGGCGAACGGGUGAGUAAUGUAUCGGAACGUGCCCAGUAGCGGGGGAUAACUACGCGAAGGCGUAGCUAAUACCGCAUACGCCCUACGGGGGAAAGCAGGGGAUCGUAAGACCUUGCACUAUUGGAGCGGCCGAUAUCGGAUUAGCUAGUUGGUGAGGUAACGGCUCACCAAGGCGACGAUCCGUAGCUGGUUUGAGAGGACGACCAGCCACCCGGGGAAUGAGACGCGGCCCAAACCCCUAGGGGGGGCAGCGGGGGGGAAUUUUGGAAAAGGGGGGAAACCCUGACCCAGCCACCCCGGGUGGGAGAUGAAGGCCUUCGGGUUGUAAAGCACUUUUGGAAGGAAAAAAACGUGGGGGGCUAAUACCCCGUGGAACGGACGGUACCUGCAAAAAAAGCACCGGAUAACUACGU